ensembl:snRNA U7 U7 small nuclear RNA
AAGUGUUACAGCUCUUUUAAAAUUUGUCUAGAGAUUUUUCUAGUUUUCACUGGGAACUGUCCCC